CUGCUCCCCUCACACCCCAUCUAGCCAAUCGGAUGCAGGUCCGAUUUACCUUCUCUGCGAUAGGUUCACUGGCUGGCUCUCACUCAGGAGAAAAUAAUUUAACAUUUAGGCCUAAAUUAAACUCUUUUUUUCUCCCAGAAAAGAAAAAAAAGACUUUUCUCUCUUUUUCUUAAAACAACAUGGACGCCAGACCUGUCAACCUGGCCCUGCUCGCUCAGACCCCUGUAACCAGCUACAGAGCUUCCGCGACACCAGCGCAACUCACACGAAUGCAUCUUUGUAGGGUUCAGCCAGCACCGGCUAACCCAAUGUAGGACAGAAUCCGUCUCAGCUCCGGCGGAUUUUGGGGCUAUGCCUUCAGCCUCAGAGAGAGCGAAAUCUAUUUCUAUCAGCUAAAAGCAGGUGAAAGUUUUGGCCCGCUGACACCUCGGAUUGCCUUUACUUCGUCUGAUUGGGGUGUUUUGAGCCUCAUCGCGACGCCCGAAGUGCAGAAGAGCCUGCGGGAAACGAGCUCGCAACAACCACGAACCAGGGAUCAACGACAACUGCCGUCGCUUUCGCUAUGUGCAUAUCACUCGGCUCGCGCGGGGCGCUGGAGCCUAUCCCACGUACAAUAUACUUUAAAAAUAUUUUACUCCCGUAAAAGUUUAUACAUUACAUGUCUACAUCACCUAUCAUCUCCUCAUCAGGUAUCUCAUAUCAUCGUGUUAUUGUUAUGUUAUGCUCCUUUGAUAUUUUGCUAGUUUGCGUGUUUUAAAACUCUUUUUGUUUUUCUUUAUAUUUUUAGACUCUGAUUUAAGCCAGAUGUGUUAACCUGAUCCCUGCGAAACACCAGCUCUGCGUGGAUUUUGACCGCGAGUGACCGGAUGUUGUUUCCGGCCUGAGGUUGCCUGAAAUGCCGUGAGGCUCGUUUGAAAGAUUGCGCCCGAGACCAACUCCGCCUCCAAGGCGUGCCUACCUUUAGCUGCCACCAGUGAGAUAUCAGAGCCGGGCUCCACAUAUCCAAUCAGGAGCACGAGGAAGACAGCUUUUGCAGACUCUCCAGAAAUAUACAAAUCCUUACCAACUGCUCUGCAACCCAGUGUUUCUGGUCCCCUCACUAACAUCGCUUUUUGAGAUAUUUUUUAUGAACCACCCAAAGAGCCAUUUUACCCCCCAGUACAGAAGACUGGAUCUGAGGGCAGCAGCAGCGGGGACAAAUGCUUGUAAUGAAGCGACGGACAUUUCAUGGCUGAUCUUAGAUAAUCGUGAGUUAUUGUGUCUUAUGGUGAAAAGUAGUUUUGCAAGAGGCAUGCAAGCACUGUGGAAAAGUAAUCGUGUGUAAGUCCUCUAAAACUGUUUUUUGUGAACACUUUGCUCCCCACGUUAUGCUUUAAAAAAUUUGAUACAUGUAAUGUGAUCAUCAAAGAACAUGAGUUUUUAAAAAGACUUUUAUUCUUAUGCUUUUAAAACUAUGUCAGAUUAUCAUAAAACACUUAUUUGUAUGUUAUAAUGUUUUUCUUACACCAUGUGUAAUUUUUAUAGACACCUUGUUCAUUGUAUCAAUGUGUAAUUAUGUAUCUUUGAUAAAUAAAUAAAAUAUUUAAUCUUG